rnacentral:rRNA from 1 species
GACGAACGCUGGCGGCGUGCUUAACACAUGCAAGUCGAACGGUGAAGCGCCUUCCUUUUUGGUGGGUGUGGAUGAGUGGCGAACGGGUGAGUAACACGUGAGUAACCUGCCCCCUUCUUCUGGAUAACCGCAUGAAAGUGUGGCUAAUACGGGAUAUUCUGGGUCUGUCGCAUGAUGGGUCUGGGAAAGAUAUUGUUUCGGUGGGGGAUGGGCUCGCGGCCUAUCAGCUUGUUGGUGGGGUGAUGGCCUACCAAGGCGGUGACGGGUAGCCGGCCUGAGAGGGUGGACGGUCACACUGGGACUGAGCCACGGCCCAGACUCCUACGGGAGGCAGCAGUGGGGAUUAUUGCACAAUGGGCGCAAGGCUGAUGCAGCGCCGCCGCGUGAGGGAUGGAUGCCUUCGGGUUGUGAACCUCUUUCGCCAGUGAAGCAGGCCUGCCUCGUUUGUGGGUGGGUUGACGGUAGCUGGAUAAGAAGCGCCGGCUAACUACGUG